rnacentral:tRNA from 1 species
GCCUCGGUGGCGUAGUGGUCAAGACGCUUGCCUGGUAAAAGGGGGCGUGGGUUCGAUCCCAGCCGAGGCA